AGAUGGAAGGAUUGGGAAAAGGAUACGACAUCGGCUGAGUAUGCCUUCAUGACUGGUAUAUAUAUGUUCACUAUUCUUUGUUUUUUUGUCCCAGAUUUGCAUCCUUGGAUCCUAGUUUGAGUGGUAAAAGUGCAGAACCAGUAUAUCGUGAUGCAAAAGGGAAAGCUAUUUCAAAGGAAGAGCUACUGAAACCAAAGGAGGAAGAGAAACCAAAGUUUACAAAUCUCAAGUACUUCAGAGUUGAAAUUGAUGAAGUGCGGU